GAGUCACUUGAUGCAACUCCAAAUAUUUGAGUUUCUCAAAGGUGUCUUCCUCCCUCAUGUUCCAUUCUUCCCCAUGGAUGAUUGUAUCAUAAAGGGACAACUCUUCAAGGUUGGGCAGUCUCGCUAUUGUUGAUAGUGAAUCGGAUGUCAGAGGAAAGUCAACAAACCACAAUUUUUUCAAACUCGAAGGGAAGUGAAAAUCCCAUGGCCGAUUUAUGGCUGCAGAGGACCCACUG